UACGUAGGGGGCAAGCGUUGUCCGGAUUUACUGGGCGUAAAGGGCGUGCAGGCGGUUUGUUAAGUGCAGGGUGAAAGCUCCCGGCUCAACUGGGAGAGGUCCUUGCAUACUGGCGAACUCGAGGGAGGCAGAGGAAAGUGGAAUUCCCGGUGUAGUGGUGAUAUGCGUAGAUAUCGGGAGGAACACCUGUGGCGAAGGCGGCUUUCUGGGCCUUACCUGACGCUGAGACGCGAAAGCGUGGGGAGCGAACCGG
rnacentral:rRNA from 1 species